rnacentral:pre_miRNA from 1 species
AAUUUACUCCCUCCGUCCCAAAAUAACUGUCUUAAACUUAAUACAAUUUUGUAUUAGAGUUAGUACAAAGUCAAGACAUUUAUUUUGGGACGGAGGGAGUAUAAU